rnacentral:sRNA from 1 species
GCUGGGCAUGGUGGUACACGCCUGUAAUCCCAGUGACCUGGGAGGCUGAGACAGGAGGAUCAGAAGUUCAAAGCCAGCUUCAGCAAAAGCAAGGCACUAAGCAACUCAGUGAGACCCUUUCUCUA